rnacentral:antisense_RNA from 1 species
CUUUAUGGCGGCUGUACGUGGGGCACACUCGUGUGCGCCGAGUUCUAGAGUCCUCGGUCUGUCAACCCGCGUACCGCUGCCACCUUC